rnacentral:rRNA from 1 species
GACGAACGCUGGCGGCGCGCCUAACACAUGCAAGUCGAACGGAGCGUUUCGGAAGAUUCCUUUCGGGGAUGAUUUUGGAAUUGCUUAGUGGCGAACGGGUGAGUAACACGUGAGCAACCUACCCUUGAGUGGGGGACAACAUUUGGAAACGAAUGCUAAUACCGCAUAAGACCACGGAGCCGCAUGGCUCUGGGGCCAAAGCAGCAAUGCGCUUAAGGAUGGGCUCGCGCCUGAUUAGAUAGUUGGUGGGGUAACGGCUCACCAAGUCAACGAUCAGUAGCCGGACUGAGAGGUCGAUCGGCCACAUUGGGACUGAGACACGGCCCAGACUCCUACGGGAGGCAGCAGUGGGGAAUAUUGGGCAAUGGGCGAAAGCCUGACCCAGCGACGCCGCGUGGAGGAAGAAGGUUUUCGGAUUGUAAACUCCUGUCUUCGGGGAAGAUAAUGACGGUACCCGAGGAGGAAGCCACGGCUAACUACGUGCCAGCCGCCGCAGUAAUAC